GAGAAGGCUCCCAUUGCAUAAUUCGCUUGCCAAAAAUAGUUUUUGACUUUGGAGCAUCAGCCGGACCUAUAACUUGAGAAACGUAAAGUUUUUGAUUAAGUGUGAUCUCCUUUUUGGGCAUUCGUUUACAAUGGACGGGAACGUAAUGUCUCUGUCUUUUACUAUCGAUCUCACCACGAUCAAUCAAGUUCAGUAGAGAUCGAUCAUCAUCUCUUCCGGCCAAUUUUUCCGUGUUUGGUGAAUUCGUCUCGGCAUACGUAGUAGAGUCUCGGGGUGUGUUAACUAAGCUAGAAUUGUCAUCAUUAUAUUCGGUGUUCAUACCAGUGUCGUUUUCUACAUCUUCAUCUUGUUGAAUUGUUAAAGGUCUGAAGGGUCUUUUUUGAGAUCUUGUGGAUAAUCCACGUACAGGGGUGGCAGGCGGAUGUUCAUCGUCUGUUUCUAGUUUGUAGGCAUCAUUGCCUGUACCAGAAUCACUGCCGUUCACAGACACUUCUCUAGAAUGUACUGACACAUUAUCUUCUCUUCCGGUCUCAGCAACCAAAACGCGCAUCUCCAAUGCAACUUCUUUUUAAGGUAUUAUUUUAUAUGAAAGUUUCCAAACAAUACCCAAAUUAAUUCAAAUAGGGAGGUCUUGAAAAUGCAAACAAAGCGGAAUUAGGAAAUUAAAGAAUAGGGAAGAACGAAAUAGGAGGGAUAUAAAAACGCAAAGUAGAUUGGGCAAUCGAAUAAUAUCAAUGAUG